CCUGCUGACCCUGCCUGUGCCAUGGGCUCCCCAGGGCAGGGCUGGGGGUCUCGGGGCACUUGCUGCCCUGGGGCUCAACCCCGAGAACCCUUUUUCCUAGACUUUCUCUCAGGCUCUUCAUGAGGAGAGUGGUGAGGCCAAAGGUGUGUCAAGGAUCCCAGGGGCGCAGCCCCACAUGGCAGAGGACAUGAAGAAGUUUCUGGAGGAGCGUGACCAGGCCAUGGCUGACUACCAGGAUCUCCGUGAGGAGAUUGGCGUGAUUAAGGUGACACAGUCCCAGAUGGCUCAGAAGAUGAAGGAGACCCUUGCAUUGAUGAAGAAGAUGGAGGAUGACAUUGCACAGCUGAGGGAGGAUGUGGCCAAGUGGAAAGAAGAGACCAGAGAGCAGAUCACUCAACAA